AAGCUACUCCCUCCGUUCCACAAUACAUGCAUCCCAUUUGUCAAAAUAUAGAUGUAUCUAGACAUGUUUUAGUAUAUAGGUACAUCCAUUUUUGAACAAAUGGAAGUCAAGUAUUUUGGAACGGAGGGAGUAGGUU
rfam:Triticum aestivum genome assembly, contig: Triticum_aestivum_CS42_TGACv1_scaffold_212276_3AS